rnacentral:rRNA from 1 species
UGGGGAAUAUUGGACAAUGGGGGCAACCCUGAUCCAGCAAUGCCGCGUGUGUGAAGAAGGCCCUAGGGUUGUAAAAGCACUUUCAAUUGGGAAGAAAGUUCCGGGUUAAUAACCCGUGGACCAUGACGGUACCUUUAGAAGAAGCACCGGCUAACUCCGUGCCAGCAGCCGCGGUAAUACGGAGGGUGCGAGCGUUAAUCGGAAUUACUGGGCGUAAAGCGCACGUAGGCGGACCAGAAAGUUGGGGGUGAAAUCCCGGGGCUCAACCCCGGAACUGCCUCCAAAACUAUUGGUCUAGAGUUCGAGAGAGGUGAGUGGAAUUCCAAGUGUAGAGGUGAAAUUCGUAGAUAUUUGGAGGAACACCAGUGGCGAAGGCGGCUCACUGGCUCGAUACUGACGCUGAGGUGCGAAAGUGUGGGGAGCAAACAGGAUUAGAUACCCUGGUAGUCCACGCUGUAAAACGAUGGUCACUCGGUGCUGCGGGUAUCGACCCCUGCAGUGCCUUAGCUAACGCGUUAAGUGACCGCUGGGAGUACGGUCGCAAGGCUGAAAA